rnacentral:rRNA from 1 species
AUUGAACGCUGGCGGCAUGCCUUACACAUGCAAGUCGAACGGUAACAGGUCUUCGGAUGCUGACGAGUGGCGAACGGGUGAGUAAUACAUCGGAACGUGCCCGAUCGUGGGGGAUAACGAAGCGAAAGCUUUGCUAAUACCGCAUAAGAUCUACGGAUGAAAGCAGGGGACCGCAAGGCCUUGCGCGAACGGAGCGGCCGACGGCAGAUUAGGUAGUUGGUGGGAUAAAAGCUUACCAAGCCGACGAUCUGUAGCUGGUCUGAGAGGACGACCAGCCACACUGGGACUGAGACACGGCCCAGACUCCUACGGGAGGCAGCAGUGGGGAAUUUUGGACAAUGGGCGAAAGCCUGAUCCAGCCAUGCCGCGUGCAGGAUGAAGGCCUUCGGGUUGUAAACUGCUUUUGUACGGAACGAAAAGACUCUUUCUAAUAAAGAGGGUCCAUGACGGUACCGUAAGAAUAAGCACCGGCUAACUACGUGCCAGCCGCCGCCGUAA